UACAAAGAAGAGCUAAGACACUCGCAUGGGUGCUCAAGGAAAUACACCAGAUUGAGCGAGGUUAGAUUAAAGUUUCUUCAUUCUUCACUAGCUUUUCUUUUGUCUUUAGGUAUUUCAGAUAAGUAUCGUAUGCUGCCUACAACAUGUAAGGGAAGCCAAAAAUGAUUACAAAAUAUUUAUGCUUCUUCAUAGUUGUCCAUUUGGUUCUAAACUUUGUUGAGUGGCAGACAUAUUUUACAUUAAUUAAUAAAUAAUGUUGCUACACACGUGAGUUGGUUUGCAAUGAAGUGGGCAGGUAGACAUGUUUUUGUUGAAUAAAUAUUUUUCAUAAAUACGGGGGCAUGAAGAUAAUCUAUUCUUUCUUUACUCCAUAGACAAUGGGACAAUGUUCUUUUUGUGUUUCAGAGUAAAAAAACAGACUCUAAUCUGAAUCUAACGAGUAAAAAAAUAUCGUUGUGUUUCAGAGUGUUACACAAUUUAUCAACAAGAGCAAAGACUCUAAUCUGAUGAUGUAGGACAGCUUUAAUGUGACAGAGGAUCAUGGUGGUCGAUGGAUUGUGCACCCGGUAGUGGACUAAGAAAGGAACAUUAUUUAUGGAACACAAUGAUAUUCAGAGCAGCCCUGCACUAUGUGAGAUUUAGAAGUUGGUACUGCCGGCGGAUGCAUCCAUCUGCUAAUCUCCUGGCACCGCGUAGACGGAGCCAAACGAGUUGGGGCCUCCAGCCGGCUGGUAGUGGACAACAACACCGGGUUUGUUAAUUACUCAACAAGUCACAGAUUGAUCUCUUUUUUGAUUGGUUUGGUGUGGAUUAUCAGGCCUGCCGCGCAAUCAUAGAUUUAUCUUUUGCUUUAUGUGGGUGGACAGAAACACCCUUUCUAAAGUUUUGUAGGUAUUGUAAUGAAGCACAGUAACACACUCCAGCAUUCAUUCUUUGCUUGAUAUUAGCAAACAAUGUAAAAUAACCAAGCUCACAACAUUCUAAAGCGGUCUAUUAGCUACUUCAGCAGACAA